GCGGGAAGCGCCUGAGGGCGGGCGGAGCUCGCAGAGAGCACAGGAACGCACUUCUCGUUCGAGAGUCAGAGUUUAUUGUGCAGAAUGCGUACAAGAAGUCUAACCUAUUUCUGAAGGAGCACACAGAGGUGUUGGUAUUGCACCACAGGAACGUGUGAUGUCCAAGCUCUACAUGAGGUUACACUGAGCAACCAGAACUAACCAGCAUAACACUGGUUAGCCACAUCUGCCUGAAGUUCCAAGAAGGCCACUGCAGAAAGCAUUCAGUGACUUUCCAGAUACGUGACAAAGAGCAACAAGGCAAAGAGAAAUUUGGAGAUAUAUCCCAAAGGAUUUUUUUCAUUGCCAAGUAUGACCUGUCACAACUUUGGAAGAUUAUCUAUUAUCUUUGUUAAUUUUUCUGCGGAGUCACUGAAUCCAACCAAACAACUGCCUGGUUCUACUUUGGUGAUGACAGCACUGCCAAGAGAACUAAGUACAGAAAAAUAAAUGAACACACUGUUGUGAUCUCA